CAUUCAAUGUGAUACUUAAAAUUGUAAUUAUUAAUCAAUUUUAUUCUUAUUAUUUCAGGAUGGAAUGCAAAUUCCCCAAUAUGGGCUUGCUACUGAAGUGCCUGAAUUGCAUGGCUUCUGGCCAGAGCAAGAAGUGGGUGGAUACGAACCACCGAUUCAAAUGGCCGAAAAUGGGCCUUCUCAAAUCCCAGAAUACGGGAUAGCUGCAGGAACACCGCAAUAUAUGCCAGCGCCUGGAUUCUAUCAAUAUGGGCCAGUGCAAGAAGUGGGUGGAUACGAACCACCGAUUCAAAUGGCCGAAAAUGGGCCUUCUCAAAUCCCAGAAUACGGGAUAGCUGCAGGAACACCGCAAUAUAUGCCAGCGCCUGGAUUCUAUCAAUACGGGCCAGUGCAAGAUGUGGGUGGAUAUGCGUCGUUUAUUCCAUUGUUUAAAAAUAGGCCUAGUUCUUAAUCAAAAGAAAUACAAAUGACAGAUGAAUCAAACAAUGCAUCGUCGGCACAAGUGCCAACUUAUAGGCCAUCAUCGGUAGCUUUCGAAAUUGAGCCAGCAACUGAAGUGUUGGUAUGUGAGCCUACCGCUGAAAGAAUAGCAGAGGCACCUCUCUUCUCAGGUUCGAUGGAAUGUUUACCAAAUCAUAAUAAAGUUUCUGGUUCUCCAAGUGAUGUCGAAGACACAAGUCAAACUAACUCUUCCCACUUGGAUCAGAAUAAUGCAGGAAAUUUCACCAAACAUACAAAAAUUACUGAAAUUAUCGAACCAGAAAUACUCUCGAAUAGAAAUCGAGAAAGAAAAAUCGAUGAAAUUUUUGAUAUUUCCGAUGACGAAGGAUUUUCUUCUAACAAUUUCGAUGAGCGUAGGAAUGAAGGUUUUCAUUAUUUUUCGGAACAAUUCACGGAAACAGUGGACGACAUCUACAUUCACAAACCGUUAAAAUAGAAUUUUAUAAAUUUUGAAAGAUUUUCUCUUGUAAAUGAAAUCAUUUAUGAAGAAGACGAGUUUGAAUACGAAAAUUUAUCAUAAGAAGACGAUGAUUCCAUCCAUGCAGAUAGCGAAUUAAGAAACAGUAAACAUUCCGAUGAUGUCGUCGAUUCAGUUAACGAAAUUCAACAAAUGAAUGUUGAAAGUAAAGUGCCGUCAAUAUCUUCCACGAAAGAUGAUAUUCAGGAAGAAAACUUUGUUAAUAAUAUGAAUACGACAUUCAUACCUUAAAAAUAUUGUUGACCGAAUUUUGUGUAUUAUAUGUACAGUAACUACACAAUGUGAAUAUGUAAAUGUGUAAAUUUGAAAUAAGCAUUUGUAGCGGUGUGACGUGAAAAAUGUACGAUGAUAAACAGAAACAAAAGCAGGAGUUUCAAGACUUAACUAAAUGCGAAAAUAACAUAAAUGAGAAUGAUAGUUCUUUAUCCGAAGACGAAACCAUUAAAGAAUACGAAAAGGUGAGAAAAUAUUUUCUACAUUUCAGUAGUUUAGACGAAUAAAACUUUUUUCUCAUUUGCAAAAUAUAUACUUUUAUUUUUAUUUCGACUUUUUUCUCCAUGUCUGAAAUUGUUAAAUACUUAAAUGAAUUUAAAAUUAUAUAUAUUUAGAUUGUAAAAAUUUAAAUACUAAAUGGCAAUCACUAAAUUCACUUAAUUUCCUUACAAAUAACAUUUUCUGUCUUUCUAUACCAAAUUUCGGAAUUCGACGCAAUCGGCAGGACGAUGUUUAUCUGUAUUUUAAAACGUCGAUUAAUGCCGCGUAACUCGAUGCAAAAACAGCUUUACUUUGAAUAAUUAAGUGCAAUUUACGAUAGCUAUGGCGAUAUAACACUCCUGUUACGCUCACAGUCUAGUUUAGUUAAUUUAGUAAAUAACAAAAGUUGUCGAAGCAGAAGUUUCCAGUAGUUAUUGUUUUUAAAUAGGCAUUACUGUAUUAAUAAUGGAAAAUUUCCUAUUGAAAUUACAACUAAUACCAUAGUACGAUUAUUGCUAAGCUGUAAGAGUUUUCUACUGUAUAAUCUAUGCACUAGAUUAUCUGCCUGAGUUAGGGUUUUCUUUUAUUUAGAAUAGUAAUAAUACAUACGUUCGAAAAAUUAUAAUAUCGCGGAUUGUGCUACAUAAAAGUUAAAUACACAGCAUCUAUAGCUGCGCUCGGGAUUCUUCGGGAUGUAUAGUGGUAUGCACACAUCAAAAUCAAGUGACGUCUGCAUACCACUAUACAUAUAAUAAGUAUAUGAAUGUGACUGUGUG